rnacentral:rRNA from 1 species
GACGAACGCUGGCGGCGUGCUUAACACAUGCAAGUCGAACGGGCCCGCCCCUGUUUUUGGGGGUGGGUUGAGUGGCGAACGGGUGAGUAUCACGUGAGUAACCUGCCCCCUGCUCCUGGAUAACUGCUUGAAAGGGCGGCUAAUACGGGGUGUGCCGGCUGGUCCGCAUGGGCCUGGUCGGGAUAGUUUCAUCUUCGGGUGUUUCGGUGGGGGAUGGGCUCGCGGCCUAUCAGCUUGUUGGUGGGGUGAUGGCCCACCAAGGCGGUGACGGGUAGCCGGCCUGAGAGGGUGGGCGGCCACACUGGGACUGAGACACGGCCCAGACUCCUGCGGGAGGAAGCAGUGGGGGGUAUUGCACAAUGGGCGGAAGCCUGAUGCAGCGACGUCGCGUGAGGGAUGGAGGCCGUCGGGUUGUGAACCUCUUUCUCCGGUGGUGAAGGCCCUGUCCGUUGCGGCGGGGUUGACGGUAGCCGGGUAUGAAGCGCCGGCUAACUACGUG